ACUCACGCGUAGUGACAAUAUCGUAACCAGUGAAGGCCUCCUAAGGUGCGAUUAUUGAUAGUUGAAAACUUGUUUUACAAAAUACGACAAGUUUCUAGUCUGUAAGAUUCAGUAAUUGAUAAGAUUUAUUAAAU
rnacentral:snRNA from 1 species